rnacentral:rRNA from 1 species
UCAAGCUACAAAGGGCGCAUGGUGAAUGCCUUGGCAUCAGGAGCCGAUGAAGGACGUGAUAAGCUGCGAUAAGCUUCGGGUAGGCGCACAUAGCCAGUGAUCCGGAGAUUUCCGAAUGUGGGAACACACAUGGGAAACCCCAUGUAUCGUAUAGUGAAUACAUAGCUAUACGAGGGUAAACCUAGGGAACUGAAACAUCUAAGUACCUAGAGGAAGAGAAAGAAAAAUCGAUUUCCUAAGUAGCGGCGAGCGAAAGGGAAAGAGCCCAAACCAAAGAUUUAUCUUUGGGGUUGCGGACAGAACAUUAACGAGAAGAUGUUGUUAACCGAACAUAACUGGAAAGUUAGACCGUAGGAGGUAAUAGUCCUGUAGGUGAAAGUCAAGAUAAUCAAGUUCUGAUCCAGAGUACCACGAGACACGUGAAACCUUGUGGGAAGCAGGGAGGACCACCUCCCAAGGCUAAAUACUACCUGAUGACCGAUAGUGAAGCAGUACCGUGAGGGAAAGGUGAAAAGAACCCCGGGAGGGGAGUGAAAUAGAACCUGAAACCGUGUGCCUACAACCGGUCAAAGCCCCUUAUGAGGGUGAUGACGUGCUUUUUGUAGAACGAGCCAACGAGUUACGGUAUGUAGCAAGGUUAAGUACUUAAGGUACGGAGCCGAAGGGAAACCGAGUCUUAAUAGGGCGACUAGUUGCAUGCCGUAGACCCGAAACCGGGUGACCUAUCCAUGGCCAGGUUGAAGCGAGGGUAAAACUUCGUGGAGGACCGAACCACGUUGCUGUUGAAAAAGCAUGGGAUGAGCUGUGGAUAGCGGAGAAAUUCCAAUCGAACUCGGAGAUAGCUGGUUCUCCCCGAAAUAGCUUUAGGGCUAGCGUCGGAUAUGUGUAGUGGAGGUAGAGCACUGAAUGGGCUAGGGGGCAUAUCGCUUACCGAACCUUAUCAAACUCCGAAUGCCAUAUACAUUUAGUCCGGCAGUCAGACUACGAAUGAUAAGAUCCGUGGUCAAAAGGGAAACAGCCCAGAUCGUCAGCUAAGGUCCCAAAGUGUAAGUUAAGUGGAAAAGGAUGUGGGAUUUCUAAGACAACUAGGAUGUUGGCUUAGAAGCAGCCACUCAUUUAAAGAGUGCGUAAUAGCUCACUAGUCGAGAGAUCCUGCGCCGAAAAUGUCCGGGGCUAAAACUUACCACCGAAGCUACGGGCUUGCGUAAGCAAGCGGUAGGGGAGCGUCGUAAUCGGGCUGAAGUCGUACCGUAAGGAGCGGUGGACUGAUUACGAGUGAGAAUGUUGGCAUUAGUAGCGAGAUGUAGGUGAGAAUCCUACAGGCCGAAUAUCUAAGGUUUCCUCAGGAAGGCUCGUCCGCUGAGGGUUAGUCGGGACCUAAGCCGAGGCCGAAAGGCGUAGGCGAUGGACAACAGGUUGAUAUUCCUGUACCACUACCAUCGUUAUUAUCGAGGGUGUGACGGAGAAGGAUAGUGUGUGCUAGCGAUUGGAAAUGCUAGUCUAAGCGUUUAGGCAGUUACGGUAGGCAAAUCCGCUGUAACGUUAAUGCUGAGGCGUGAUGGGGAAGGCCCUUGAGGCUGAAGUACAUGAUUCCAUGCUUCCAAGAAAAGCAUCUAGAGAGAGAAGUAGUGCCCGUACCGCAAACCGACACAGGUAGAUGAGGAGAGAAUCCUAAGGCCGGCGGAAGAAUUGCAGUUAAGGAACUAGGCAAAUUGACCCCGUAAGUUCGCGAGAAGGGGUGCCUGCGAGAGCAGGCCGCAGAGAAUAGGCCCAAGCAACUGUUUAGCAAAAACACAGGUCUCUGCUAAAGCGCAAGCUGAUGUAUAGGGGCUGACGCCUGCCCGGUGCUGGAAGGUUAAGGGGAACACUUAGCGCAAGCGAAGGUGUGAACUUAAGCCCCAGUAAACGGCGGCCGUAACUAUAACGGUCCUAAGGUAGCGAAAUUCCUUGUCAGGUAAGUUCUGACCCGC